GAAGAGGUCAUUGGAACAAGUAGAACAUUUAUUGUUGCAAGAUCAACAUUCUAGCCAAGUGGGAAAUUGAAGAAAAAGGAUUUUGGCGGAUUUGGAACGUGAAUUUGGAGUCGCAUAAGAAGCAGAAAAGGUACACCAGCUGAGCCACAAUUAUCAUAGAAGAUGUUCCAGCGGAGUUGGCGGGCUCCACUUGUUCUGGAGUGCUGCCGAGUCAGAGUAUAUGAGCUGUGGUGUUUGUUCAAUGUUAGAGACUUUGCA